CUCAUCGUCCUCCUCCUCCUCGGAGUGUGAGCGAGGUUCGCUGGGGCGAGCCUGGUCCCUCCGGGGACCGCUUCGGCGGCAGCGAAACGUGACGGCGAUGAGAGGUCGUUGAUGUUCCUCGUUCCUGUUCCUUGUCCUGUUCCUCGUUGCUGUCCUCCUCCUCCUCCUCCUCCUCUUCUUGCUUCGUACUCACCUGUCAUUCUUCGCACAGCAUUCGCUCUGCCCUUUCCCGUUCUCCUCCUCAUCCUCCUCCCGACGCGGUCUAUCUGUCCUCUCGUGCUCCUCUUCCUCUGUCCUCCUCUUUCUUCGUAUUCGCUGCCGUUGCAGUCGCUGUACAUCCUCUCACACUCCUCCGUCCUCUGAGUCCAACGAUAUAAGAAGAAGGAGAAAAAAAAAAAAAGAAAAAAAAA